rnacentral:misc_RNA from 1 species
UCCGGUUUGUCACCGGCAGUCUCCUUAGAGUGCCCAACUGAAUGCUGGCAACUAAGGACAAGGGUUGCGCUCGUUGCGGGACUUAACCCAACAUCUCACGACACGAGCUGACGACAGCCAUGCAGCACCUGUGUUACGGCUCUCUUUCGAGCACUAAGCCAUCUCUGGCAAAUUCCGUACAUGUCAAAGGUGGGUAAGGUUUUUCGCGUUGCAUCGAAUUAAACCACAUCAUCCACCGCUUGUGCGGGUCCCCGUCAAUUCCUUUAUGUUUUAGUCUUGCGACCGUACUCCACAGGCGGGAUACUUAACGCGUUAGCUGCGCCACUAGUGAGUAAACCCACUAACGGCUGGCAUUCAUCGUUUACGGCGUGGACUAC